UACGUAGGUGGCAAGCAUUGUCCGGAUUUAUUGGGCGUAAAGCGAGUGCAGGCGGCUCAAUAAGUCUGAUGUGAAAGCCUUCGGCUCAACCGGAGAAUUGCAUCAGAAACUGUUGAACUAGAGUGCAGAAGAGGAGAGUGGAACUCCAUGUGUAGCGGUGGAAUGCGUAGAUAUAUGGAAGAACACCAGUGGCGAAGGCGGCUCUCUGGUCUGCAACUGACGCUGAGGCUCGAAAGCAUGGGUAGCGAACAGG
rnacentral:rRNA from 1 species